rnacentral:rRNA from 1 species
CCUACGGGAGGCAGCAGUGGGGAAUAUUGCACAAUGGGGGAAACCCUGAUGCAGCGACGCCGCGUGAAGGAUGAAGUAUUUCGGUAUGUAAACUUCUAUCAGCAGGGAAGAAAAUGACGGUACCUGACUAAGAAGCCCCGGCUAACUACGUGCCAGCAGCCGCGGUAAUACGUAGGGGGCAAGCGUUAUCCGGAUUUACUGGGUGUAAAGGGAGCGUAGACGGCAAUGCAAGUCUGAUGUGAAAACCCGGGGCUCAACCCCGGGACUGCAUUGGAAACUGUCAGGCUGGAGUGUAGGAGAGGCAAGUGGAAUUCCUAGUGUAGCGGUGAAAUGCGUAGAUAUUAGGAGGAACACCAGUGGCGAAGGCGGCUUGCUGGACGAUGACUGACGUUGAGGCCCGAAAGCGUGGGGAGCAAACAGGAUUAGAUACCCCGGUAGUC